rnacentral:misc_RNA from 1 species
GAAAUGCGAUAAGUAAUGUGAAUUGCAGAAUUCCGUGAAUCAUCGAAUCUUUGAACGCACAUUGCGCCCUCUGGCAUUCCGGGAGGCAUGCCUGUCCGAGCGUCAUUACGCACCCUCAAGCCCGGCUUGUGUGAUGGGCCCCGGCGUCUCGUUCGCGAGACGGGCCCGAAAGGCAGCGGCGGCGUCGACCCGAUGAGCCCGAGCGUAUGGGGACUUCUGUCACACGUUCGCGGUGCGGACCGGCGCCUGCUUGACUUUUCUGAUUAUCCAGGUUGACCUCGGAUCAGGUAGGGAUACCCGCUGAACUUAAGC